UCUAAGUUUGAUGGCGACCGGCGCACGGGUGAGUAACACGUAUCCAACCUGCCGAUGACUCGGGGAUAGCCUUUCGAAAGAAAGAUUAAUACCCGAUGGCAUAGUUCUUCCGCAUGGUAGAACUAUUAAAGAAUUUCGGUCAUCGAUGGGGAUGCGUUCCAUUAGGUUGUUGGCGGGGUAACGGCCCACCAAGCCUUCGAUGGAUAGGGGUUCUGAGAGGAAGGUCCCCCACAUUGGAACUGAGACACGGUCCGAACUCCUACGGGAGGCAGCAUG
rnacentral:rRNA from 1 species